UCCGAGUUGACCCCGGCAGUCUCCCAUGAGUCCCCGCCAUUACGCGCUGGCAACAUGGAACGAGGGUUGCGCUCGUUGCGGGACUUAACCCAACAUCUCACGACACGAGCUGACAACAGCCAUGCAGCACCUGGACUACGGCUCUCUUACGAGCACCCCUCUGUUUCCAAAGGGUUCCGCAUUUUUCUAGCCCGGGUAAGGUUCUGCGCGUUGCGUCGAAUUAAACCACAUGCUCCACCGCUUGUGCGGGCCCCCGUCAAUUCCUUUGAGUUUCAGCCUUGCGGCCGUACUCCCCAGGCGGGGCACUUAAUGCGUUAGCGCCGGCACCCGGAGGGUCGCUCCCCCGGGCACCUAGUGCCCAUCGUUUACGGCGUGGACUAC
rnacentral:misc_RNA from 1 species